UACGAGGGGGGCAAGUGUUGUUCGGAAUCACUGGGCGUAAAGGGAGCGUAGGCGGGCUCUUAAGUUGGAUGUUUAAAACCGGGGCCCAACCCCGGCGUGGCAUCCAAAACUGGUAGUCUUGAAUGGAACAGAGGCUAGUGGAAUUGGAGGUGUAGCGGUGGAAUGCGUAGAGAUCUCCAAGAACACCCGUUGCGAAGGCGGCUAGCUGGGUUCACAUUGACGCUGAGGCUCGAAAGCGUGGGGAGCAAACAGG
rnacentral:rRNA from 1 species